UACGUAGGGACCAAGCGUUGUUCGGAUUUACUGGGCGUAAAGGGCGCGUAGGCGGCUUGUCAAGUCACUUGUGAAAUCUCUGGGCUUAACCCAGAACGGCCAAGUGAAACUGACAUGCUAGAGUGCAGAAGGGGCAAUCGGAAUUCUUGGUGUAGCGGUGAAAUGCGUAGAUAUCUGGAGGAAUACCGGUGGCGAAGGCGGCAUCCUGGACCGACAUUGACGCUGAGGAGCGAAAGCUAGGGGAGCAAACGGG
rnacentral:rRNA from 1 species